rnacentral:rRNA from 1 species
UUGGGAAUAUUGGACAAUGGAGGAAACUCUGAUCCAGUGACGCCGCGUGAAGGAAGAAGGUCUUCGGAUUGUAAACUUAUUUUGUCAGGGAAGAAGAAAUGACAGUACCUGAAGAAAAAGGACCGGCAAACUACGUGCCAGCAGCCGCGGUAAUACGUAGGGUCCAAGCGUUAUCCGGAUUUACUGGGUGUAAAGGGCGAGUAGACGGUGUUACAAGUCAGAUGUGAAAACUUGGGGCUCAACUCCAAGACUGCAUCUGAAACUGUGAUACUAGAGUGCAGGAGAGGAAAGUGGAAUUCCUAGUGUAGCGGUGAAAUGCGUAGAUAUUAGGAGGAACACCAGUGGCGAAGGCGACUUUCUGGACUGUAACUGACGUUGAGGCGCGAAAGUGUGGGGAGCAAACAG